GUACUACUUCAGCAGCACAUAUACUAAAAUUGAAAAAAUACAGAGAUUAGCAUGGCCCAACACCAGGAUGACAGGCAAAUUCAUGAAACAUUACAUAUUUUU